rnacentral:rRNA from 1 species
GAGUUUGAUCCUGGCUCAGGAUGAACGCUGGCGGCGUGCCUAACACAUGCAAGUCGAACGGGUGUACAGAAGGGAAGAUUACGGUCGGAAGAUCUGUGCAUGAGUGGCGGACGGGUGAGUAACGCGUGGGCAACCUGGCCUGUACAGGGGGAUAACACUUAGAAAUAGGUGCUAAUACCGCAUAACGGGGGAAGCCGCAUGGCUUUUUCCUGAAAACUCCGGUGGUGCAGGAUGGGCCCGCGUCUGAUUAGCCAGUUGGCAGGGUAACGGCCUACCAAAGCGACGAUCAGUAGCCGGCCUGAGAGGGCGGACGGCCACACUGGGACUGAGACACGGCCCAGACUCCUACGGGAGGCAGCAGUGGGGAUAUUGCACAAUGGGGGAAACCCUGAUGCAGCGACGCCGCGUGGGUGAAGAAGCGCCUCGGCGCGUAAAGCCCUGUCAGCAGGGAAGAAAAUGACGGUACCUGAAGAAGAAG